UAGUCCACACCGUAAACGCUGUCUACUAACUGUGUGUGAAUUUAAUUCGUGCGUAGUGAAGCUAACGCGCUAAGUAGACCGCCUGGGGAGUACGGCCGCAAGGUUAAAACUCAAAUGAAUUGACGGGGGCCCGCACAAGCGGUGGAGCAUGUGGUUUAAUUCGAUGCAACGCGAAGAACCUUACCUACACUUGACAUUCAGAAAAGUUACCAGAGAUGGUUUCGUGCCUUCGGGAAUUCUGGGACAGGUGCUGCAUGGCUGUCGUCAGCUCGUGUCGUGAGAUGUUGGGUUAAGUCCCGCAACGAGCGCAACCCUUGUCCUUAUUUGCCAUCAUUAAGUUGGGCACUCUAAGGAGACUGCCGGUGACAAACCGGNGGAAGGUGGGGACGACGUCAAGUCAUCAUGGCCCUUACGUGUAGGGGCUACACACGUGCUACAAUGGACGGUACAGAGGGGAAGCGAACUUGCGAGAGUAAGCGGGACCCCUUAAAGCUGUUCGUAGUCCGGGAUUGGGAGUCUGCAACUC
rnacentral:rRNA from 1 species